rnacentral:misc_RNA from 1 species
UUGAAUAACUUGGUGCUGAUGCUGGCCUUCUGAAGCGGAGAGUUAUUAGGCAUUGGCCGAGCGCCUCCCUUCGGUUAUUAUAUCAACCUCAAACUGCGUUUACUAGAAUGUCUACCGUCUUGUUGUAACGACAAGUACAAUCCAAUA